UGUCCAGUAGCACCUUAGAGACCAACUAAGUUUGUUCUUGAUAUAAGCUUUCGAGUGCAUGCACACUUCUUUAUCUUAUACCAAGAACUAACUUAGUUGGUCUCUAAGGUGCCACUGGGGA